rnacentral:rRNA from 1 species
ACUCCUACGGGAGGCAGCAGUAAGGAAUAUUGGUCAAUGGGCGGAAGCCUGAACCAGCCAUGCCGCGUGCAGGAUGACUGCCCUAUGGGUUGUAAACUGCUUUUGUCCAGGAAUAAACCUUUCUACGUGUAGAGAGCUGAAUGUACUGGAAGAAUAAGGAUCGGCUAACUCCGUGCCAGCAGCCGCGGUAAUACGGAGGAUCCGAGCGUUAUCCGGAUUUAUUGGGUUUAAAGGGUGCGUAGGCGGCCAAUUAAGUCAGGGGUGAAAUACGGUGGCUCAACCAUCGCAGUGCCUUUGAUACUGAUCGGCUUGAAUCCAUUUGAAGUGGGCGGAAUAAGACAAGUAGCGGUGAAAUGCAUAGAUAUGUCUUAGAACUCCGAUUGCGAAGGCAGCUCACUAAGCUGGUAUUGACGCUGAUGCACGAAAGCGUGGGGAUCGAACAGGAUUAGAUACCCUGGUAGUCCACGCCCUAAACGAUGAUAACUCGAUGUUGGCGAUAGACAGCCAGCGUCCCAGCGAA